rnacentral:rRNA from 1 species
UGAUGACGAGACGCUAAGGCGUUGAAGCAGUGUAUGUCAGACUUCCAAGAAAAGCUCGCAAUGUCACAAAUAAAAGAUGCCUGUACCAUAACCGACACAGGUGGGUAGGUAGAGUAUACUAAGGGGCGCGAGAUAACUCUCUCUAAGGAACUCGGCAAAAUGACUCCGUAACUUCGGGAGAAGGAGUGCCUUAUUUAUAAGGUUGCAAUAACAAGAUCCAAGCAACUGUUUAUCAAAAACACAGGUCUCCGCUAAGUCGUAAGACGAUGUAUGGGGGCUGACGCCUGCCCAGUGCCAGAAGGUUAAAGAAGUUGGUUAGUGUAUGCGAAGCUGAUGACUGAAGCCCUGGUGAACGGCGGCCGUAACGAUAACGGUCCUAAGGUAGCGAAAUUCCUUGUCGGGUAAGUUCCGACCCGCACGAAAGGCGUAAUGAUUUGGAUACUGUCUCGGAGAGAGGCUCGGUGAAAUAGACUUGUCUGUGAAGAUGCGGACUACCUGCACCAGGACAGAAAGACCCUAUGAAGCUUUACUGUAACUUGAAAUUGGAAUUGGACUUUGCUUGCGCAGUAUAGGUGGGAAGCGUUGAAAAUAUUCUUGCGGGAGUAUUGGAGCUAUCAGUGAGAUACCACUCUUGUAAUGUUAGAUUUCUAACUUUGAACCAUAAUCUGGUCAAAGAACAGUUUCAGGUGGGCAGUUUGACUGGGGCGGUCGCCUCCCAAAUGGUAACGGAGGCGUACAAAGGUUUCCUCUGAACGGAUAGAAAUCGUAUCUAGAGUGUAAAGGCAUAAGGAAGCUUGACUGUGAGACCUACAAGUCGAGCAGGGACGAAAGUCGGUCUUAGUGAUCUGACGGUACUGAGUGGAAAGGCCGUCACUCAACGGAUAAAAGUUACUCUAAGGAUAACAGGCUGAUCUCCCCCAAGAGUUCACAUCGACGGGGAGGUUUGGCACCUCGAUGUCGGCUCAUCGCAUCCUGGGGCGGUAGUACGUCCCAAGGGUUGGGCUGUUCGCCCAUGAAAGCGGUACGCGAGCUGGGUUCAGAACGUCGUGAGACAGUUCGGUCCAUAUCCGGUGUAGGCGCUAGAAUAUUGAGAGGAGCCUUCUUUAGUACGAGAGGACCGAGAAGGACACACCGCUGGUGUACCAGUUAUCGUGCCAACGGUAAACGCUGGGUAGCUAUGUGUGGAGUGGAUAACCGCUGAAAGCAUCUAAGUGGGAAGCCCACCUCGAGAUGAGUAUUCCC